CCUACGGGAGGCAGCAGUGGGGAAUCUUGCGCAAUGGGCGAAAGCCUGACGCAGCAACGCCGCGUGCGGGAAGAAGGCUUUCGGGCUGUAAACCGCUUUCAGCAGGAACGAAAAUGACGGUACCCGCAGAAGAAGGAGCGGCCAACUAUGUGCCAGCAGCCGCGGUGAUACAUAGGCUUCAAGCGUUGUCCGGAUUUAUUGGGCGUAAAGAGUUCGUAGGCGGUCGAGUAAGUCGGGUGUGAAAAUUCUGGGCUCAACCCAGAGACGCCACCCGAUACUGCUUAACUUGAGUUCGAUAGGGGAGUGGGGAAUUCCUAGUGUAGCGGUGAAAUGCGCAGAUAUUAGGAGGAACACCGGUGGCGAAGGCGCCACUCUGGAUCGAUACUGACGCUGAGGAACGAAAGCAUGGGUAGCAAACAGGAUUAGAUACCCUGGUAGUCCAUGCCGUAAACGGUGGGCACUAGGUGUGGGAUUCUAUUAACGAAUUCCGCGCCGUCGCUAACGCAUUAAGUGCCCCGCCUGGGGAGUACGGUCGCAAGACUAAAACUUAAGGAAUUGACGG
rnacentral:rRNA from 1 species